rnacentral:rRNA from 1 species
AUUGAACGCUGGCGGCAUGCCUUACACAUGCAAGUCGAACGGUAACAGGUCUUCGGAUGCUGACGAGUGGCGAACGGGUGAGUAAUACAUCGGAACGUGCCUAGUAGUGGGGGAUAACUACUCGAAAGAGUGGCUAAUACCGCAUGAGAUCUACGGAUGAAAGCAGGGGAUCGCAAGACCUUGUGCUACUCGAGCGGCCGAUGGCAGAUUAGGUAGUUGGUGGGAUAAAAGCUUACCAAGCCGACGAUCUGUAGCUGGGCUGAGAGGACGAUCAGCCACACUGGGACUGAGACACGGCCCAGACUCCUACGGGAGGCAGAAGUGGGGAAUUUUGGACAAUGGGCGCAAGCCUGAUCCAGCAAUGCCGCGUGCAGGAUGAAGGCCUUCGGGUUGUAAACUGCUUUUGUACGGAACGAAAAGCCCUGGGUUAAUACCCUGGGGUCAUGACGGUACCGUAAGAAUAAGCACCGGCUAACUACGUGCCAGCCGCCGCCGUAAUAC